AGCGAACGCUGGCGGCAGGCCUAACACAUGCAAGUCGAACGAACCUUUCGGGGUUAGUGGCGGACGGGUGAGUAACACGUGGGAACGUGCCUUUAGGUUCGGAAUAACUCAGGGAAACUUGUGCUAAUACCGAAUGUGCCCUUCGGGGGAAAGAUUAAUCGCCUUUAGAGCGGCCCGCGUCGGAUUAGCUAGUUGGUUGAGGUAAUGGCUCACCAAGGCGACGAUCAGUAGCUGGUCUGAGAGGAUGAUCAGCCACAUUGGGACUGAGACACGGCCCAAACUCCUACGGGAGGCAGCAGUGGGGAAUCUUGCGCAAUGGGCGAAAGCCUGACGCAGCCAUGCCGCGUGAAUGAUGAAGGUCUGAGGAUUGUAAAAUUCUUUCACCGGGGACGAUAAUGACGGUACCCGGAGAAGAAGCCCCGGCUAACUUCGUG
rnacentral:rRNA from 1 species